GGGGAUCACCUCCCAGCCUAAGGUUGCUUUCUGAGGUCCGGGCUGGAACCUAUGUUCCUUUAAAUCUGCCCAGAUCACCGGGAAAUGCUGCCUUUGCUGGGUUUGCACGCUGAGCACCUGACACACCUGCUGCUGAGGCAGCGUGAGUCACCCGCACAGACACUGCUCACUGGACUCCAGUUCAGAGCUUGGCUGUCACGCACCCCGGAUGUCAUCCCCCACCUACCCCUCUGAAGGCAUGUCAGGACAGAUCAGGCUCUAACCCAAUGUCUACUCAACGGCUCACCCCCAGGGGAAGCACACGGAAGGAUGGGAGGGGUACACAAGGAUGCGUCUCCCAUGAAGACCCGUUCAUGGUCAAGGGUCUUCUCCCCUCUGUGUCCUGGAACAUCUCAUCUGCCCUGCUGGCCAUAAAUAGGGCGGAGGGGAUCCUGAACUGAAUUCUGGCCCCCACUUUGAGCAUCUCACUGUGGAUAUAUGAGGUGUCUGGCUCGCCUCUCUUCCCAAGCAGGUGCUCGUGGCACUGACACCCUGCACACCGUUCAAGAGAGAUCCGUGACAGCUUCCAGAAGUCUUAUUUGCAGGACGGACUUCUGGGUGAGAAACGGAUUGGCCCUGCCAGCAGGGCCGGAGGUAGGAGAGGAAGUUUCACAUCUGGGAAAGCAUCCCCAGGAAACCAUCUUCAGGGGUGAAGUCGGGGAGUUGAGGACAAAGAGAGAGAAGGAAAGGGAGGUCCCUGGUUUAUCUGUGCAUCGAGGUGGACUCUUGCUCAGUCAUUCAUUCAACAAACAUAGACUGUAG
rnacentral:lncRNA from 1 species